AGAUUGAACGCUGGCGGCAUGCCUUACACAUGCAAGUCGAACGGCAGCACGGGAGCAAUCCUGGUGGCGAGUGGCGAACGGGUGAGUAAUACAUCGGAACGUGCCCAAUCGUGGGGGAUAACGCAGCGAAAGCUGUGCUAAUACCGCAUAAGAUCUACGGAUGAAAGCGAGGGGAUCGCAAGA
rnacentral:rRNA from 1 species